rnacentral:tRNA from 1 species
UAUAGCUCAGAGGCAGAGCAUUUACAUUGUAUGUGUGAGGUCCUGGGUUCAAUUCCCAGUA